rnacentral:rRNA from 1 species
GAUAAACGCUGGCGGCGUGCCUAAUACAUGCAAGUAGAACGCUGAAGCUUGGUGCUUGCACCGAGCGGAUGAGUUGCGAACGGGUGAGUAACGCGUAGGUAACCUGCCUGGUAGCGGGGGAUAACUAUUGGAAACGAUAGCUAAUACCGCAUAACAGUAGAUAUUGCAUGAUAUCUGCUUGAAAGGUGCAAUUGCACCACUACCAGAUGGACCUGCGUUGUAUUAGCUAGUUGGUGAGGUAACGGCUCACCAAGGCGACGAUACAUAGCCGACCUGAGAGGGUGAUCGGCCACACUGGGACUGAGACACGGCCCAGACUCCUACGGGAGGCAGCAGUAGGGAAUCUUCGGCAAUGGACGGAAGUCUGACCGAGCAACGCCGCGUGAGUGAAGAAGGUUUUCGGAUCGUAAAGCUCUGUUGUAAGAGAAGAACGAGUGUGAGAGUGGAAAGUUCACACUG